rnacentral:rRNA from 1 species
GAUCCUGGCUCAGAAUCAACGCUGGCGGCGUGCCUAACACAUGCAAGUCGCACGAGAAAGCGGGCUUCGGCCUGCAAGUAAAGUGGCGCACGGGUGAGUAACACGUGAAUGAUCUACCUCCGAGUGGGGAAUAACCUAGAGGAAUCUGGGCUAAUACCGCAUAACACUUACGAGUCAAAGCAGCAAUGCGCUUGGAGAGGAGUUCGCGGCAGAUUAGUUAGUUGGCAGGGUAAUGGCCUACCAAGACGAUGAUCUGUAUCCGGCCUGAGAGGGCGCACGGACACACUGGAACUGAAACACGGUCCAGACUCCUACGGGAGGCAGCAGUGGGGAAUUUUGCGCAAUGGGGGAAACCCUGACGCAGCAACGCCGCGUGGAGGAUGAAAUCCCUUGGGAUGUAAACUCCUUUCGAUCGGGACGAUUAUGACGGUACCGGAAGAAGAAGCCCCGGCUAACUUCGUGCCAGCAGCCGCGGUAAUACGAGGGGGGCAAGCGUUGUUCGGAAUUAUUGGGCGUAAAGGGCGCGUAGGCGGUUUGACAAGUCUGAUGUGAAAUCUCUGGGCUCAACCCAGAGUCUGCAUUAGAAACUGUCGGGCUUGAGUAUGGGAGAGGUGAGUGGAAUUUCCGGUGUAGCGGUGAAAUGCGUAGAUAUCGGAAGGAACACCUGUGGCGAAAGCGGCUCACUGGACC